GGAGGACAGGCUGGCAGAGGAGGGAGGAGGGUUUCUAGCUGAGAGAGACUGCGGCUGUGGGCCUGCAGCCUACCCCUCUUCAAGCUCUCCGGAGCCGUUCCUGCGAAACCAGCCCCCACAAAUAAGGAAGCUGGGAUUCAGAGAAAUUAAGGGACUUGGUGAAGCAGAGAAUGCCAAGGGAAUUGAUUCAGUAGUGGACGGGGAGUCCCUGAAGACUGUUGAGCAGUGAAGAGACCUGAUCGCAUACUAAAAAAGUACAUGCAAUGGCAAGAAGAUCAACUAAGAGAUUCUUCUUAUGUUGCUAUUUUAAACUCCUGAACUCAAGUGAUCCUCCUGCCUUGGCCUCCCAAAGUGCUGGGAUUACAGGUGUGAGACACUGCACCCUGCCCAAGCACCUCUGCUCCGUGCCAUGCUCUUGGCUAAUUGGAGUUGUGAAAGGCAUGAGGAUUCUGGUCAUGGACUCAGCUCUCCCAUAGGGUUCUGACACCAAAGCAAUGGUCACAACAGUGAAAGGAAGAAUCCAUCUGGCCAGGCUCAGGUGGUUCAAGGCCUUCAGAAUCUGCCUUGAGACUCUCACUGGCUUUAGACUGAAAACCAUCUUGGCCCCGUCCAUCCGUGUAAGCAAUUUAACGACAGCUUGCAAAGCACCGAGCUUUAACAGA
rnacentral:lncRNA from 1 species